CUAGGAAUCUUGGGAAUGGGCGAAAGCCUGACCCAGCAACGCCGCGUGGGCGAUGAAGGCCUUCGGGUUGUAAAGCCCUUUUGCAGGGGAAGAUGAUGACGGUACCCUGCGAAUAAGCCACGGCUAACUACGUGCCAGUAGCCGCGGUAAUACGUAGGUGGCAAGCGUUGUCCGGAUUUACUGGGCGUAAAGGGCGUGCAGGCGGUCUGUUAAGUCUAGGGUGAAAGCUCCCGGCUCAACUGGGAGAGGUCCUUGGAUACUGGCGGACUUGAGGGAGACAGAGGAGAGUGGAAUUCCCGGUGUAGUGGUGAUAUGCGUAGAUAUCGGGAGGAACACCAGUGGCGAAGGCGGCUCUCUGGGUCUUACCUGACGCUGAGACGCGAAAGCGUGGGGAGCGAACCGGAUUAGAUACCCGGGUAGUCCACGCCGUAAACGAUGGACACUAGGUGUGGGGGGUAUCGACCCCCUCUGUGCCGAAGCCAACGCAGUAAGUGUCCCGCCUGGGGAGUACGGCCGCAAGGCUAA
rnacentral:rRNA from 1 species